AAUAGAUACCCCGGUAGUCCAUGCCGUAAACGUUGGGCACUAGGUGUGGGGGACAUUCCACGUUUUCCGCGCCGUAGCUAACGCAUUAAGUGCCCCGCCUGGGGAGUACGGCCGCAAGGCUAAAACUCAAAGGAAUUGACGGGGGCCCGCACAAGCGGCGGAGCAUGCGGAUUAAUUCGAUGCAACGCGAAGAACCUUACCAAGGCUUGACAUGAACCGGACCGCUGCAGAAAUGUGGUUUCCCCUUUGGGGCUGGUUUACAGGUGGUGCAUGGUUGUCGUCAGCUCGUGUCGUGAGAUGUUGGGUUAAGUCCCGCAACGAGCGCAACCCUCGUUCUAUGUUGCCAGCACGUGAUGGUGGGGACUCAUAGGAGACUGCCGGGGUCAACUCGGAGGAAGGUGGGGACGACGUCAAAUCAUCAUGCCCCUUAUGUCUUGGGCUUCACGCAUGCUACAAUGGCCGGUACAAAGGGUUGCGAUACUGUGAGGUGGAGCUAAUCCCGAAAAGCCGGUCUCAGUUCGGAUUGGGGUCUGCAACUCGACCCAGUA
rnacentral:rRNA from 1 species